rnacentral:rRNA from 1 species
GAUACGCGAGGAACCUUACCUGGGCUCGAACGUAAGAUGACUGUAGGUGAAAGACUUACAUCUCUUCGGAGCAUUUUACGUAGGUGCUGCAUGGUUGUCGUCAGCUCGUGCCGUGAGGUGUCGGGUUAAGUCCCAUAACGAGCGCAACCCCUACCUUUAGUUGCCAUCAGGUUAAGCUGGGGACUCUAAAGGAACUGCCUACGCAAGUAGUGAGGAAGGCGGGGAUGACGUCAAAUCAGCACGGCCCUUACGUCCAGGGCUACACACGUGCUACAAUGGCCGAUACAGAGGGCAGCUACCUGGUGACAGGAUGCAAAUCUCCAAAGUCGGUCUCAGUUCGGAUCGGAGUCUGCAACCCGACUCCGUGAAGUUGGAUUCGCUAGUAAUCGCGCAUCAGCCAUGGCGCGGUGAAUACGUUCCCGGGCCUU